rnacentral:rRNA from 1 species
GUACACUCCUGCGGGAGGCAGCAGUGGGGAAUUUUGGACAAUGGGCGAAAGCCUGAUCCAGCAAUGCCGCGUGAGUGAAGAAGGCCUUCGGGUUGUAAAGCUCUUUUGUCAGGGAAGAAACGGUGAAAGCUAAUAUCUUUUGCUAAUGACGGUACCUGAAGAAUAAGCACCGGCUAACUACGUGCCAGCAGCCGCGGUAAUACGUAGGGUGCAAGCGUUAAUCGGAAUUACUGGGCGUAAAGCGUGCGCAGGCGGUUUUGUAAGUCUGAUGUGAAAUCCCCGGGCUAAACCUGGGAAUUGCAUUGGAGACUGCAAGGCUAGAAUCUGGCAGAGGGGGGUAGAAUUCCACGUGUAGCAGUGAAAUGCGUAGAGAUGUGGAGGAACACCGAUGGCGAAGGCAGCCCCCUGGGUCAAGAUUGACGCUCAUGCACGAAAGCGUGGGGAGCAAACAGGAUUAGAUACCCCUGUAGUCCCA